GUGGAAGUUAACAAAAUCCCAGAAGAAAUAAAGGAAAUGAAUUUCAUCAGUGAAGGAUCAGUCUUGCACUGUGCUCAAGAAGUUGAAGACUGUACGUUGGGGCAUCUCUGGGAUGAAUUGAAAUCUUCUUGUGACUUCAUUAAUGCUCAAAAUGAAGUUGAAACUUUUAAUCGCCAUAAUCGAUGGAAGAAGCGAUUGAGGUAUUGCCAUGGUGCCAACCAAAUUUGGAAUAGCUUUCACUUUUAAGACUAUGAACCAGGUACAUUCUUGUCUUUGUUGUACACCCUAAAGUUCCUAGUUAGGUCCAUGUUCCUUUGAUUAGUGAUUAGUUUAAUUAUUGCCUUCAUUCUACUCUGGCCCAGGUGUCUGGAUAUAUUUAAGCUGUUUCUUUGGUACCUAUGAGCAUGAUAACAGCCGUUGUCGGGCAUCCGGGAAGGGCCGGAGCACAAGGGUCUAUUGUACACAGCCUUAACUUGCAUUUCUGCAAGAGGCUGUUUCCACAGUUCGAACCCGUGACCUACUGGUCACAUGGCAAUAACCUUACCACUCAUGCGAAGGCUCCGCUUCCAUAAUAACCAAUAUUAAAACUUGAAUUUACUCAGUCUGUAAAUGUUGAACUUAGAUACUGCCUUCACUUGCUACCUAAAAUAAUUGAAACUGAUCUUCCUCAGCCAAGCGGUGGUUUGCUUGGUUUGGGGUGUGUGUGUGUGUGGAUAUUUCUUCUAGCACAUCGUAUUGUUUUAUUCAAAUUCCUUGUGUUGCAUGUCAAUUUUGUUUGCAGAUUAUGAAAAAUAUUAUUACCUGCAUCAUCUAGUUUUCUUGCCAAUCUAGGUACCUAAUGCUUCUGCAAGUUCUGACAUGUAUGGAGCUGCAGUAUUGGAUGCAUGUGAGCAAAUAAAAGCACGGAUGGAGCCUAUUGCAAUUUGCAUCCAAGUCUAACUUCAGCUCUUUUGAGGAGUAACUUCUUCAGGGUUAGGCACCAAUUGUGAAGAAGAUGAUUACAAGUGGUGCUUACUGCUUACAGCUUUUUCAGAGCCAUGGGAGGUCCAAUAAGAGUCCUUCAACAAAUUAUGUAGUUGCCUAAGAUGAAUAUAUAUUUGUUAGAUGGUAAGCGAAGAAGAAAAGGAAGGUGGAAAUAAUUCAACGUCAGAAGAGAACAAAACGCGUUGAUGCAAAGGUAUAUAUGACCUCCCCUCCAUAGAGAGUUAAGACAACAUGUUCAGUAUAUUCAUAAUCUUGCGAAUUGAAACAUUAAAUUAGAAGAAACUCAAAAAAGGCUGAGUAUCUGCAAGAACGAUUUUUUGCAAUGGAACAGCUUUACCUUUUGGCAAAUUUCUGUUUUUGUUUUGAUACAAGAUCCCAUGAGUCAAUAUUCUUUUGUAUGUGAAAUGCACGAUUUUUUAUCUACAGUAAUGAAGAUAGGAUAAACUGCUGGGACACACUAUGAGAUGAAAUCUUAUGACACUCAAACAGAUCAUAUGCUUUACAGACACUACUGGUAACUUAAAGAACUAUAGCUCUUUCCAUACACCUAAAUCAAAGACUUAAUAAGAUACUAUAAUUCAAGGCUACCUCUGGGAAAUGGGUUCUUAAGUAUGAUCUUAAUAGAAACAGAGUUCUAUCAAGGUCCUUCUUGUUAAGAAAUAAAGUAAGCAGAUCAGCACCAUUUUUUGA